UAAACUCAUUUGGCCACAAAAGGCAUAUACAUAAUCUAUCAUACAUUUCCAUUGACCAAAUUAACAUGGUCUAUUGCUAUUGAUCAAAUCCAUUGUCUACAAUUAAAAUCAUUUGACCACAUCCAUGAUAUAUAAAACAAUUUGUACUGACCAAAAACAUGGUCUAUAAAUUACAGCUACUGACCCAAACCAUGGCCACGACCAAAUACAGGGUCUAUUAUAAUAUUCAUGAUAUUUGUACAACCGAAC
rnacentral:lncRNA from 1 species